rnacentral:rRNA from 1 species
CGAAGAACCUUUAACCACGGUUCUUUGACAUCCCAUUGCAAAGCUAUAGAGAUAUAGUGAGGUUACCAUGGAGACAGGUGGUGCAUGGUUGUCGUCAGCUCGUGUCGUGAGAUGUUGGUUAAGUCCCGCAACGAGCGCAACCCUUAUUGCUAGUUACCAUCAUUAAGUUGGGGACUCUAGCGAGACUGCCAGUGAUAAACUGGAGGAAGGUGGGGAUGACGUCAAAUCAUCAUGCCCCUUAUGACCUGGGCUACACACGUGCUACAAUGGUUGGUACAACGAGUUGCGAGUCGGUGACGGCGAGCUAAUCUCUUAAAGCCAAUCUCAGUUCGGAUUGUAGGCUGCAACUCGCCUACAUGAAGUCGGAAUCGCUAGUAAUCGCGGAUCAGCACGCCGCGGUGAAUACGUUCCCGGGCCUU